rnacentral:rRNA from 1 species
AUGCGCACAAGCUUGUACGCCGAUGAUGCUGUCAUCUUCAUCAACCCAGUGCGUGAAGACAUUGACACCCUGCUAGGCCUACUGCGACAGUUCGGCGAUGCUACGGGCCUGCUGGUCAAUCUCUCCAAGUCCUCCGCGAUCCCAAUCCGCUGCAGCGACAUCGACCUGGCCACGAUUCUGGUGAACUUUGGAGGGACUACGGCCACGUUCCCGAUCACAUACCUAGGCCUGCCCAUUACGAUCGGAAGAAUUAGGCUAGUUCAACUGCAGUUCAUCCUUGAUAGAAUUAGGGCUAGGCUAGCCGGCUGGAAG